GGGGGCAACCCUGGCGGCGAGCGGCGAACGGGUGAGUAAUACAUCGGAACGUACCCAGGAGUGGGGGAUAACACAUCGAAAGAUGUGCUAAUACCGCAUACGCCCUGAGGGGGAAAGCGGGGGACCGCAAGGCCUCGCGCUGUUGGAGCGGCCGAUGUCGGAUUAGCUAGUUGGUGGGGUAAGGGCCUACCAAGGCGACGAUCCGUAGCUGGUCUGAGAGGAUGAUCAGCCACACUGGGACUGAGACACGGCCCAGACUCCUACGGGAGGCAGCAGUGGGGAAUUUUGGACAAUGGGGGCAGCCCUGAUCCAGCCAUUCCGCGUGAGUGAAGAAGGCCUUCGGGUUGUAAAGCUCUUUCGGCAGGAACGAAACGGCGGGCUCUAACAUAGCCUGUCAAUGACGGUACCUGAAGAAGAAGCACCGGCUAACUACGUGCCAGCAGCCGCGGUAAUACGUAGGGUGCGAGCGUUAAUCGGAAUUACUGGGCGUAAAGCGUGCGCAGGCGGUUUUGUAAGACAGCUGUGAAAUCCCCGGGCUUAACCUGGGAACUGCGGUUGUGACUGCAAGACUAGAGUGCGGCAGAGGGGGGUGGAAUUCCACGUGUAGCAGUGAAAUGCGUAGAGAUGUGGAGGAACACCGAUGGCGAAGGCAGCCCCCUGGGUUGACACUGACGCUCAUGCACGAAAGCGUGGGUAGCAAACAGGAUUAGAUACCCUGGUAGUCCACGCCCUAAACGAUGCCAACUAGGUGUUGGGGGAAGGAGACUUCCUUAGUACCGUAGCUAACGCGUGAAGUUGGCCGCCUGGGGAGUACGGUCGCAAGAUUAAAACCCAAAGGAAUUGACGGGGACCCGCACAAGCGGUGGAUGGAUGUGGAUUAAUUCGAUGC
rnacentral:rRNA from 1 species